rnacentral:tRNA from 1 species
UCUAAUAUGGCAGAAUUAGUGCAAUAAACUUAAGAUUUAUAUAUAAGAUAUAAAUCUUUAUUAGAA